AUUCCAAGCCUCUCUCAUCACAGAUGCAGGUUCAUCCCUCCUUCCUUUUGAGGAUUGGACUCCAGCUCCCUUCUCCUCUUCCGCUGCCCUGUGAGCAAUCUUUUAAGAUCUCACUCAAUUCAUGUCUUCUGUCACAAGUGCUUCUCACUCACAUCUUCAGAACAGAACAGAACAGAACAGCAUCUUGUUCCAGUUUGUUUUACAUGGUUUGACAAAGGAAGAAGGACAAGCAUUUCCUCUUUCCAUCUGUAAUUUCUCCGUAGCUCGCCUAAGCUGCCACUGACAGCCCAGGUCAAUGCCUUGGUUUCCUGGGGCUGCAAACUUCUCUUCCAGGAAUCCUAGCUUGGAUGCUGCUGCCAGGCAAGGAGAACUGGAAUGGCUUGCUGGCAUGAAUCUUAACCCAUCCCUCUUUUCUGGAGGGUACAAGAAUCCAGGAGAUUUCAUCUGCAGCUAAAUGAGAGGAGAAUCAAUACUUGAUUUUCACUUUCCUGCAUACAAAUCUCACUUAAAACAUUCUGUUUUGUCUCUGGUCCUAUUUUUCAUGGAGUCUUUUUUUUUUUCACUUUUAAUUUUGAAAAGCUACUUCAUAUCCCCCUCAGAAUUCAUACAAAUUCCUCCUGUUCAAUUUAAAAGCAAAAUCAAAUUGCUGGAAGUCACUCACAUAGGUAGAAAGGAAGAGAUAACGCUUUUGAGAAUGACUUGUAAAGAUUAUGAUACAGAAUAGAGAAGAGGAGCAAAUGCAAAGAUGAUUCCUUUGACAAGAUGAAAAACGGUACUCUAAUACACCUGCUUUGUAAGUCUCUAUUUUCACACAUAGCAGGCUUGUUUACAGCUGGCUAAAGAUCUGCUGCACAGCAGCACUGACCCCACUGCAUUCUUUCUACACCAAUAAAUUUCCUCUGCUGCCUCAUUCAGAUAGCCUAGCUGCUGUUUAGAGUGAAAUUCUUCCACCUUCAAGCAAGAAUCAGAGGUUCUUUCAGGCUUCACACAAUAAUAUGAUGAAGAGGCACGCUGAAGGUGAAUAAACACUAAUUUGUUUGCGUGUGAAUAAGGCAUCAUUUAUGUAGCAACUUCUACAGAUUGGGUACUGGAGAUUUUUCCAAAACGAAUAAUGCUCCUGCUUUUGAGCUUACAAUGUAGUAGGAAAGAUAAACAGAGUGUGAUAAGUGACAUCAUAAAGGCACAAACAAAUUCCUGUGAGCACAAAGUGGAAAGCCCCUGAGCUGGAAAAUAGCACUGAGGUGGUUUCAUGAAAGAGGAAGCAGCAAGGCUGGGCCUUGAAGAACGUGAAGGAGUCACCCAGCUAGAGAGGGCAGGAGGGUGUUCCACGAAGUACAAACAUCAUGAACAGAAAGUCAAAGAGUGAAAGUGAAGGGAGGAUUGGGGAGCAGUGAACAGACAAUGUGAGAGAGCUGCGGCACCAUGGAGAAGAGUAAUGAGAGGGACAUCCUGAAGGAAAGACAAUAUGAAGGACUGUCGAUGCCAAAGAAAGGACUUUCAGCCAUAUGCACGCAAUGGGGAGCAAUGCAAGAUUGUCAACCAAGAGACUGAGGUGACCAGAUCUGCUUCACAGCAGCAGCAGCAGCAGUGUACAUGGAAGAUUAGAGGACCGAGAGAGAUGCAUGUCAGGAAAAUCAGCUAACAGACUCUAAAAUAACUAAGACUUGAGAAAGAUCUGGAUCAAAGCUUUAACAGCAGCAAUAAAGAAAAAAGAAGAGACAUUUCUGUAAUCAGAUCUAGAAAAGUUGAUGACCCCCAGGAUAACAGCCAUGAAAGUGAGAAGUGCAGGACACAAUGGUUUAAGCUUGGAAUCUCAGCCACUCCGAAGUCGCUGAGGCAGGAGAAUCACUUGAGCCUAGGAAUUUCAGGCUGCAGUGAGCUACCUACAGUUGUGCCACUGUACUCCAGCCUGGGUGACAGAAUGAGACCCUGUCUCUUAAGAAAGAAAAGAAAGAAAGAAAGAAAAGAGAAUAAGAGUGUCUAGGGUUUCUAACUUGGCCAUUUUAUCGUUAAGGGAGAUAAGUCAAGAAUAGGAAAAGAAUGUGCAUACUGGGGAAGACCAUGUACACUAAAAAGCAGAGCUUGUCAUCUGUGCUGACUCCUUUUUUCUUCUUGUCUUCUCUACUUCUCAAGGUGCUGCUACCACAAACAUGAGGAAACUUCUGUUAGGAGUUCAACCUUCAGAGAGGACAGCUGGCAGUGCAAGAUGGUGACAGCCCUGCAAUCAGGAGAAGAAAGUCAUGAGAGUAAGGAAUGAUGGAGAGGGAUGAGAGCGUUUUCUAGGAUUUGAAGAGUUAAGAGACUCUGAAUAAUUGGCAGGGGAAGCUGGGAUGGAGAACAAAGUAGGAGAAGAAUCAUUUGCUGUGAACUCUGUAUUUGGAUUCCAUUUUUGAUGAUCUUUGAAAAUGGGAAUAAAGGAUUUGGGUUAUUUUUAAAUUCCUUUGGAGGCUAGACAGUUUCCCUAAAUUCAGCAUUCCCUUUGAAACUAGACCGCAUGAGUCUCUGGUUUGUGCAGGGUUACCCUGGGUCAGAGUUGCCUCUAGAAUAAGCAAUGGGUAAGUCCUUGAGCUGUUGGAAGCGCAUGGAGUGCCUGACAGUCUUCUGCACAUUAGGCAUAGGGGACCCUUUUGGGGGAAGAGGAUGAAGAAUAGGAGGGGUGAUGGGAGCAUGUUGGGUUGUGCCAGUUUAAAGAGAACGUGAAAAAGAUAAGCAAGCAAAUGAGGCUGCAAAAGAGGAAUCAUGGGAGAAUGAGGAAAAUUAAGUGAUCAUAGCAUCCCUGAGGUCAAAAGAGCAGGGGUUUCAGGGAGAGUGCCAGGGCAUUAGUUAAUACAAAGAAGAGACCACUGGCUUUGCACCCUGGAGGUCAAUGCUAUCCUCUUCCUAAUCCAUUACUAUAGAGUGAUGGGGACCAGCGUUUGUGUAUUGAGGAGAUAAUGAGAAGUGUAAAUGGAAAACAACCAGAAGAUAACAAGGAUAAACAACUCUUUCAAAAAUAUAGUCACAGGUCACUUAACAGGACUACAUUCUGAGAAAUGCACUAUUAGACAAUUUUAUUGUUGUGCGAACAUCAACAGAGUAGCUUACACAAACCUAGAUGGUGUAGCCUACUAGGCUAGAAGGUGUAGUCUAUUGAUCCUAGGCUACAAACCUACACAGCAUGGUACUGUACUCAAUACUGUAGGCAACUAUAACACAAUGGUAAGGAUUUGUGUACCUAAAUAUACCUAAACAUAGAAAAGGGCUAGGUGCAGUGGCUCACACCUGUAAUCCCAGCACUUUGGGAGGCUGAGGCAGGCGGAUCACCUGAGGCCAGGAGUUUGAGACCAGCCUGACCAACAUGGCAAAACCCGGUCUCUACUAAAAACACAAAAAUUAGCUGGGCAUGGUAGCACAUGAUUGUAAAAUCUCAGUUACUCGGGAGGCUGAGGCAUGAGAAUUGCUUGAACCCAGGAGCUGGAGGUUGCAGUGAGCAGAGAUCACGCCACUGGACUCCAGCCUGGGCAACAGAGCAAGACUCUG
rnacentral:lncRNA from 10 species